rnacentral:rRNA from 1 species
AGGACGAACGCUGGCGGCGUGCUUAACACAUGCAAGUCGAGCGGAAAGGCCCUUCGGGGUACUCGAGCGGCGAACGGGUGAGUAACACGUGAGUAAUCUGCCCUUGACUCUGGGAUAGCUCCGGGAAACCGGGAUUAAUACCGGAUAUGACUGCCUUAGACAUCUUUGGUGGUGGAAAGUUUUUCGGUCAGGGAUGAGCUCGCGGCCUAUCAGCUUGUUGGUGGGGUAAUGGCCUACCAAGGCGACGACGGGUA